GACGAACGCUGGCGGCGUGCCUAAUACAUGCAAGUAGGACGCAGUUGCGAACGGGUGAGUAACGCGUAGGUAACUACCUAUUAGAGGGGGAUAACUCUUGGAAACGAUAGCUAAUACCGCAUACUAGUAGAUGGACCUGCGUUGUAUUAGCUAGUAGGUAGGGUAAUGGCCUACCUAGGCAACGAUACAUAGCCGACCGGGCAGGGUGUACGGCAACACUGGGACUGGGACACGGCCCAGAAUCCUACGGGAGGCAGCAGGAGGGAAUCUUCGGCAAUGGGGGGAACCCUUAACGAGCAACGCCGCGUGAGUGAAUAAGGUUUUCGGAUCGUAAAGCGCUGUUGUUAAGGAAGCGGUACUUAGCCAGAAAGGGACGGCUAACUACGUGCCAGCAGCCGCGGUAAUAC
rnacentral:rRNA from 1 species